rnacentral:rRNA from 1 species
UGGUACCUACGGGGGGCAGCAGUGGGGAAUAUUGCACAAUGGGGGAAACCCUGAUGCAGCGACGCCGCGUGAGGGAAGACGGUUUUCGGAUUGUAAACCUCUGUCCUCUGUGAAGAUAAUGACGGUAGCGGAGGAGGAAGCUCCGGCUAACUACGUGCCAGCAGCCGCGGUAAUACGUAGGGAGCGAGCGUUGUCCGGAUUUACUGGGUGUAAAGGGUGCGUAGGCGGCCCUGCAAGUCAGAAGUGAAAUCCAUGGGCUUAACCCGUGAACUGCUUUUGAAACUGCAGGACUUGAGUGGAGUAGG